UGUUAUGGCGGCUGUGCGUGGGGCGCCCUUUGGGUGCGCCGGGUUCCUUGGACCGGUCUGCUAACCCGCGUACAGCUGCCACCCUU
rnacentral:antisense_RNA from 1 species